GAAUUUUUUCAAGACUCUUUGAACACAUUUGCUAGUUUCAUGGUGGGUGAUUUACAAACACACCUGUCCACACUGUGCUGGGUGUUCAGCAGUUUUUGACCUAAAACGGAGUGACCCCUGUGCCACACCCUCCCUAUUCACCUGAUCUCACACCAAGUGACUUUUUUGGGUUUCCCUGGAUGGAUAAAGUCCUCAAAGGGAAACGUUUUGUCAGUAUGCAAGAGGUGAUAUAAAAAACAGCAGAAGCAUUAAAAGGCAUCAAAAUUGAUGAGUUCAAAACUGUUUUGAGUGGUGGAAAAAACGUCUCGAUGGAUGUAUUGUAUCAAGUGGAGAGUACUUUGAAGGUGACUGAAGUUUAAACAUGUAAGAAUAAAUACACAAUUUUUAAUAAAUAAAUUCCAUUUGGGGGAGGCCUU